ACAAUAAAGUUGUAUAACCCAUCUAGAUCUACAAUUUUUAUUUUGGUCAUUUGUUCAUCCGAUAAGGUGAUAAUAACAUUGUUCACAAAUAUUACAUAUCUCCCAUAUGGUUUCAUAAAUUAUAAGACAGAUGUGUAAAAUUUGUGAACAAUGUUACUAUCACUUUGUCGGAUGAAGAAAUGACCAAAAUAAAAGUUAUAGAUAUUGAUGAGUUAUACAACUUUGUUGU
rnacentral:pre_miRNA from 1 species